CCUACGGGAGGCAGCAGUGGGGGAUAUUGCACAAUGGGGGGAACCCUGAUGCAGCGACGCCGCGUGGGUGAAGAAGCGCCUCGGCGCGUAAAGCCCUGUCAGCAGGGAAGAAAAUGACGGUACCUGAAGAAGAAGCCCCGGCUAACGACGUGCCAGCAGCCGCGGUAAGACGUAGGGGGCAAGCGUUAGCCGGAUUUACUGGGUGUAAAGGGGGCGCAGACGGCGAUGCAAGCCAGGAGUGAAAGGCCGGGGCGCAACCCCGGGACUGCUCUUGGAACUGCGUGGCGGGAGUGCAGGAGGGGCAGGCGGAAUUCCUGGUGUAGCGGUGAAAUGCGUAGAUAUCAGGAGGAACACCGGUGGCGAAGGCGGCCUGCUGGACUGCAACUGACGUUGAGGCCCGAAAGCGUGGGGAGCAAACAGGAUUAGAUACCCGGGUAGUC
rnacentral:rRNA from 1 species